rnacentral:tRNA from 1 species
GUCAGGAUGGCCGAAGCGGUCUAAGGCGCUGCGUUCAGGUCGCAGUCCACAUCUGUGGGCGUGGGUUCGAAUCCCACUUCUGACA